rnacentral:misc_RNA from 1 species
GAUGAAGAACGCAGCGAAAUGCGAUAAGUAAUGUGAAUUGCAGAAUUCAGUGAAUCAUCGAAUCUUUGAACGCACAUUGCGCCCGCCAGUAUUCUGGCGGGCAUGCCUGUUCGAGCGUCAUUUCAACCCUCAGGCCCCCAGUGCCUGGUGUUGGGGAUUGGCCCAGCCUUCCUGUAAGGCCGCCGGCCCCGAAAUCUAGUGGCGGUCUCGCUGUAGUCCUCCUCUGCGUAGUAGCACAACCUCGCAGUUGGAACGCGGCGGUGGCCAUGCCGUUAAACACCCCACUUCUGAAAGUUGACCUCGGAUCAGGUAGGAAUACCCGCUGAACUUAAGCAUAUCAAUAAGCGGAGGA